rnacentral:rRNA from 1 species
UACGUAGGGAGCGAGCGUUGUCCGGAUUCAUUGGGCGUAAAGAGCUCGUAGGCGGCUUGGCAAGUCGGGUGUGAAAACUUCAGGCUCAACCUGGAGACGCCACCCGAUACUGCCAUGGCUAGAGUCCGGUAGGGGACCACGGAAUUCCUGGUGUAGCGGUGAAAUGCGCAGAUAUCAGGAGGAACACCGGUGGCGAAGGCGGUGGUCUGGGCCGGCACUGACGCUGAGGAGCGAAAGCGUGGGGAGCGAACAGG